AGCAGCCGCGGUAAUUCCAGCUCCAAUAGCGUAUAUUAAAGUUGUUGCAGUUAAAAAGCUCGUAGUUGAAUUUCGGGAUCAAUACGUCGGUCGUGCUUCGGUACGUACUGGUGUCAUUGAUUUCUCCCUUCUGACGAACCAUGAUGUCAUUAACUUGGUGUCAUGGGAAAUCAGGACUGUUACUUUGAAAAAUUAGAGUGUUUAAAGCAGGCUCACGCUUGAAUACAUUAGCAUGGAAUAAUGAAAUAGGACGUUCGAUCCUAUUUUGUUGGUUUCUAGGAUCAACGUAAUGAUUAAUAGGGAUAGUUGGGGGCAUUAGUAUUCAAUUGUCAGAGGUGAAAUUCUUGGAUUUAUUGAAGACUAACUACUGCGAAAGCAUUUGCCAAGGAUGUUUUCAUUAAUCAAGAACGAAAGUUAGGGGAUCGAAGACGAUCAGAUACCGUCGUAGUCUUAACCAUAAACU
rnacentral:rRNA from 1 species